AGGAUGCUUUAUUCAGAGCUCAAGCACAACAACACUGUGGUACGCUGUAUCUAUCUGCAGGUAACUCCUUCCAUCAGAGGCUUGUAUAAUCUUCACCUCUGAGGACCAUAGGCUGCGUGUACAUGUGGAAGAAGAGCAGAAAUUGGGCCCCGCUCAUAAGAUGUUCUUCACCAUGACAAGUCCUGCUGAACACUGUAAUCCUUGUCCUUACCAA
rnacentral:lncRNA from 1 species